rnacentral:lncRNA from 1 species
GUCGGGGUUCAAAAGCCCAAGCCAAGCCCUGUGUCACUCUCCCUCUUGGUCAGUGGAUCAGGUUAUAGCUCUCAAUACUUCUCCAGCACCAUGGCUGCUGCCGUGCUCCCAGUCAUGAUGAUAAUGGACUAAUAAACCUCGGAAACUAAGCAAGCCCACAAUUCAAUGCUUUCUUUUGUAAGAGUUGCCUUAAUCAUGAUGUCUCUUCACAGCACUAGAACAGUGAUAAAAUGAUAAAGUGCUGUUUUACAAUUUGAACGAGUAGUCAUAAAUUAUAGUAGAAGAUCCUAUUAGAAAGUCUGGUUCCUAAGCAAGAAAUCAAAUCCCCUGUCAUCUAUCAGAAGAUCUAAAAAUAUACCCAAGUCUAAUUUGUUUUGAAUUACAGCACUCUCAUCUAUAUUUGAGUUAACAUACCAUACUUAAAUAAUACUCCCAUGAUCAGCCUGGCUUAAUUUAUGUAUACAAGAACAGGCCCAAAACAAGAAAUUAUAAAAUAUGUCACUACAUCAGAUGAGUGGAGAGAAAAUCUUAUUACAGAUUACUAAAAGCAUAAUUAUAGCUGUUGGUAAUAAAUACAAAAUAAAACAAAAGCAAAUUAGUGAGAUAAUCUUUGUAUUCACGUACUUGAAAUAAUCUUCAUUUAAAUCACUACAAAAUCUGGAAGACUACUGACAUAGCAUGUAUGAGGUCCUAGGUGUGUAUAAUACCCAGAAACACAACAGAGCAGUGUACUAACAGUACAUACCUAGUUACAAACACACAUUUGGGAGGAAGUGUUAUAUGUGUGUGGGAGAGGAGGGAAUGUUCAAUUUUAUAUUUUUAGGUCAAGUCGUAUGUACAAUCACAACAUUAAAUAUUGCUGUGUUUUUAUAUGGCCCUCUUGACAUUUAUUUAUAUAGGAUUAUAGGUAGUAAUUUUUCAUUAGUUUUUCGAAAAGGAAUAUUAGGAAUUUGGUAAGAUUGUAAUUUUCUGCCAAUAGUGACAAAUAUCAUUUAAUAUUUAAAAGGAUUAUAAUGAAAUUUUAAAAUAGUUACAUUUGGCCUGUCUUCAUACUAUUUGUGGGAGAAGAAUAUUUCUGAAUUUCAUCUGCAUAAACUUGAGUAAUCAUUAUAAAGGCAGGUCAGUUGUAGUUAGUAUGAUUUGAAUAAAAUCUUGCUAUAUGCUAGGAUAGUCAGUUCAUUUUUGCAGCGGCUGGUCUGAGAUGUUAGAGCAGAACAGCAUCAUGGGGAAGUACUGUACUGUAGAGUGUUGAGUAGCAUGCCUGGAGUUUGAAGUAUGUAGGGGUAUUGAAAAAUAUAUAUUUCAACCAAGGUCUGCUUAUUACUACUGAGUAGCAUACAACAUUUAGCUAGUAGAGUGAGAAAGGCUAUAAUGCUUAAGAAAUAAACUAAAAUUUUACAUAUAACUCAUCCAGAUCAUUUUGGUUAUAUUAGGCACAAAAUUUAUAUCAUAAUCUUUCUUAAAACUUGUUGUUUGUCUGUUUGUGUGAGCCCUGGCUAGCCUGGAACUCAGUCUUUAGAUCAUGCUGGCUUCGAACUCAGAGAUAUGUUUGCCACUGCCUUCUGACUGCUGGGAUUAAAAAGUGUGUGCCACCACAGCCUGGCUUAAAUUUUAUUGUUUUAAUUCUUUUUAUUUUGCAGUAUAAACAUUUGAAAAGGGUUCUUUAAAAAUAUAUUAGUGGCCUGGAGAGAUUGGUGAAUAAGGUUAAGAGCACUGGAUGCUCUUGCAGAAGACUCAGGUUCAGUUCCUAGCGCCUACAUGGUAGCUUAAAACUGUCGGUAAUCUCAGUUCCAGGGACUCUAGUACCUAUUUCUGGCUCCUUGGGCACCAGGCAUGCAGAAUGUACAUACAUGCAUGCAGGAAAAACACUUAUACCCGUAAAAACAAACAUACACAUGAGAUAUUUUGGAUGUUGAGUUUAGAGGUAUGGUCAUACCUCAAUUAGUGAUUGGCAUGCUUUUUGAAAAUGAGUAGGGGCUCUCAACCCAUGGGUCAUGACGUGGGGGGGGGGGUGUGAACUAUCCUUUUACAGGGGUACCUGAGAUGGUCAGAAAGUACAAAUAUUCAUAUUAUAAUUUAUAACAAGCAAAAUUACAGUUACAAAGUAACAACAAAAAUAAUUUUAUGGUUGGGGUCACCACAACAUGAGGAACUGUAGUAAGGGGUUGUAGCAUUAGGAAGGUUGAGAGCCACUGUCCUAGAGUGUGCUUACACAGACCUGGGCAAUAUAGUUUACUAUACACUUAGGUGUAUAUGGUGUAUGCGGUUUAGCUUAUGCCCAAGACUGCAAACCUGUGCAUAUUGAUUUUGUGCAAACCUGUCACCCUAUUGAAUACUAUAGGUAGUUGUAGUUCAAGUGUUGUUUAUCUAAACUUAGAAAAUGUAUACUUGUGGUUAAUGCUUGCCUUAUGAAAGUGAUACGUGAAUCUAUGAAGCAAUAUAAUUGAUUUAUCCUAAUACUUUUCCUC